AGACCGGCGCACGGGUGCGUAACGCGUAUACAAUCUACCUUUUACAGAGGGAUAGCCCAGAGAAAUUUGGAUUAAUACCUCAUAGUAUUUUUGAAUGGCAUCAUUUGAUUAUUAAAGUUCCAACGGUAAAAGAUGAGUAUGCGUCCCAUUAGCUAGAUGGUAAGGUAACGGCUUACCAUGGCAACGAUGGGUAGGGGUCCUGAGAGGGAGAUCCCCCACACUGGUACUGAGACACGGACCAGACUCCUACGGGAGGCAGCAGUGAGGAAUAUUGGACAAUGGGCGCAAGCCUGAUCCAGCCAUGCCGCGUGCAGGAAGAAGGUCCUAUGGAUUGUAAACUGCUUUUAUACAGGAAGAAACACACCCUCGUGAGGGUACUUGACGGUACUGUAUGAAUAAGGACCGGCUAACUCCGUGCCAGCAGCCGCGGUAAUACGGAGGGUCCAAGCGUUAUCCGGAAUCAUUGGGUUUAAAGGGUCCGUAGGCGGUUUAAUAAGUCAGAGGUGAAAGCCCAUCGCUCAACGAUGGAACUGCCAUUGAUACUGU
rnacentral:rRNA from 1 species